rnacentral:rRNA from 1 species
UACGGAGGAUGCAAGCGUUAUCCGGAAUGAUUGGGCGUAAAGCGUCCGCAGGUGGCUGUGUAAGUCUGCUGUCAAAGAGCGAAGCUCAACUUCGUAAAGGCAGUGGAAACUACACGGCUAGAGUGCGUUCGGGGCAGAGGGAAUUCCUGGUGUAGCGGUGAAAUGCGUAGAGAUCAGGAAGAACACCGGUGGCGAAAGCGCUCUGCUGGACCUUAACUGACACUGAGGGACAAAAGCUAGGGGAGCGAAUGGG